UUGCUAUGAUGAUACUUUUGACUAGUUGAAACUAUUCUUGGAGAUUUUUAUGAAAGCUUGACUAUAUUGUUGAUCUGAGCGGUUACCUGAGCAA